AACGUAGGAGACAAACGUUAUCCGGAGUUACUGGGCGUAAAGGGCAUGCAGGCGGUCCGACACGUUUUGUGUGACAGCGGGUGGCUUAACUACCCGAGGAUACGAAAGACGGUUGGACUUGAGGACUCGAGAGGGACACGGAAUUCCGGGUGGAGUGGUGAAAUGCGUAGAGAUCCGGAGGAACACCGAAGGCGAAGGCAGUGUCCUGGCGAGUGACUGACGCUGAGGUGCGAAAGCCAGGGGAGCGAACGGG
rnacentral:rRNA from 1 species